CACAAUAUUUCAGUUAAGGUAGUAUCCUCAAGGAUUGUGGGAUCUAAGUAAAAUUGUCUUUACUUUGGUCAAUCUUUCUGUGGUAACCUUACUCUAAUCAAGAUAUAAAGCAGUUGGUGUUAUGAAAGCUUGCCAAAAUCUCACAAUUGAACCUACCAUUUAUGCUGAUGGAAAAUGAAGUGCACAGUUUGAACACAUUCUCCUGGUAUUACAUUAUUAUUCAUUAUUUUUGGUAUCUAAAUGAUUUAACGGUGUAUCUCUUUAUUGCAUUCUAUCUCAGAUUGAAUCUAUAUAGUUUCUUGAUGAAUUGGUCUAUUGCAACUGAAACAUUUUAUUUAACUCGAGAACUCGUCCGCUGAUCCAUUAUUGCAUUUCAAUCUCAUCAAGUGAAUUGAUAUGAGUCUGACGACAUUUCUUCCAAGCCGUCAGAGAUGUAGUAAGCUACCAGAAAAAGGUGUCAAGAAGAACAGUGGAGAAGAGUUGUUGGAUGAGAGUGACGACAUUCUCAAUAUGUCAUCACAAGUGUGGUAAGCCAUCAGAAUAUGCCAUCAGAGUGAGGCAGAACACGGUGAAAUAAGUUGAAGGUCUGACGACAUUUGCUACAUGCCGUCACAAGUGUGGUAAGCCAUCAUAGGACAUCAUCAGAGUGAGGUAGAGUGAGGCAGAACAUGUAAAGUUGGCAUGACUUCUGACGACAUAUCUGAGACACCGUCAGAAGUCUGAUGACCAACACCAAUAUCGCGUCACCUAAAUCCGAGCCCAGCUGUGAUUUUGUUAUUUUAUUUCCUUAAUUAGGCUUUAGUAUAAAUAGCAGUUUUUAGGGUUUUUAAGAAAAGAAGUUUUCAUUAUUCAGAAUAGGAAUUUUGGAGGGAGAAACACGUAUAUUGUUGUUUUUUGCUAAUUAUUUUUAGUUUCAUUCUUAUCAACUAUUCUUAGGUUUCUAACUUGGGAUUUAAUUGAAGAAAUUAUUUGUUGUUUUCC